GUGUGCUUGCUUCUACACCCUAUGCACUAAAAUUCAAAGGAUACAGAGGAGAUUAGCAUAGCCCCUUCGCAGGGAUAAUUUGUGAAUUCAUGAGGCAUUCCAUGUUUUU